rnacentral:rRNA from 1 species
GAUGAACGCUGGCGGCGUGCCUAACACAUGCAAGUCGAACGGAAAGACAGUGAGCUUGUGCCCUUAACGGUAGCGGCUGGCGGGCGAGUAACGAGUGGAUCAGCUACUUCUUUUUCGGGGAUAAUAACGGAAAGAAGGUUACAAUACUACAGCAUAUGAUGAACCGGAGGGGUCAAUGGAGAAUCACGGCUUUGGCGGUUGGAAUAGCCGGUGUCGGACUAGCUAGUUGGGUGGGUAAAGGCAUAGCAAGGCGACGAUACGUAGCGUAGCUGAGAGGAUGAUCGGCCACACUGGAACUGAGACACGGUCCAGACUCCUACGGGAGGCAGCAGUAGGGAAUAUUGGGCAAUGGGCGCAAGCCUGACCCAGCAAUACCGCGUGGGUGAAGAAGGCCUUCGGGUCGUAAAGCCCUGUUGUUGGGAAAGAACAGCUGUAGAUUAAGACCCAGCCGUUCUGACGGUACCCAAUGAAUAAGCACCGGCUAACUACGUG